rnacentral:rRNA from 1 species
CAGCCGCCGCGGGAAUACAGAGGGUGCAAGCGUUAAUCGGAUUUACUGGGCGUAAAGGGCGCGUAGGUGGUUAUUUAAGUGAGAUGUGAAAGCCCCGGGCUUAACCUGGGAACUGCAUCUUAUACUGGGUAACUGGAGUGCAGUAGAGGGUAGUGGAAUUUCCGGUGUAGCGGUGAAAUGCGUAGAUAUCGGAAGGAACACCAGUGGCGAAGGCGGCUACCUGGACUGAGACUGACACUGAGGCGCGAGAGCGUGGGGAGCAAACAGGAUUAGAGACCCCAGUAGUCCCUGUCUCUUAUAC